UACAGAGGUCCCAAGCGUUGUUCGGAUUCACUGGGCGUAAAGGGUGCGUAGGCGGAUUGCUAAGUCAGGGGUGAAAUCCUGGAGCUCAACUCCAGAACUGCCUUUGAUACUGGCGACCUUGAGUCCGGGAGAGGUGAGUGGAACUGCGAGUGUAGAGGUGAAAUUCGUAGAUAUUCGCAAGAACACCAGUGGCGAAGGCGGCUCACUGGCCCGGUACUGACGCUGAGGUGCGAAAGCGUGGGGAGCAAACAGG
rnacentral:rRNA from 1 species